rnacentral:rRNA from 1 species
GCGAUUGGAACUUGUUUCAUUCCAAUGAGUGAGGCUGGUGUAGCAUUGAUCCCUCUGCUUUUCCCACUCUUUUACGGAUGGGAGGGUAGGGGUUGGCAUUAGAUGUGAGACCUGUUCAUCUCUUUGGAGAGGUCAGCAUCAGUUACGAAGAAGGGAUUCCGGGCGGAAAAGGUAGGUUCCCUGCGGACUGCUUUAUAGUUUCGUCUGGCGGCUGGAAUGUGAUUCCGAGUUCGGGCCACACUUUCGAGUACUCGAAUUCUGUGAUGCUGACAGUCACGGUUUCAACCGACCCGUCUUGAAACACGGACCAAGGAGUCUAACAUAUGUGCAAGUAUGCGGGUGCCAGUCCUGUAUGCGUAAUGAAAGUGAGAGUAGGGAGUUGGGUGCGCUGCCGCUCCUCGCACCUACGACCGACCACGAUCUUCAGAGAGAGGUUUGAGUUAUAGCAUAUCUGUUAGGACCCGAAAGAUGGUGAACUAUGCCUGGGUAGAAUGAAGUCAGGGGAAACCCUGAUGGAGGUUCGUAGCGAUACUGACGUGCAAAUCGUUCGUCAAACUUGGGUAUAGGGGCGAAAGACUAAU